AUGAGAGGAAAAAUUUUGGAGUACAACACAUACCCCCCAACCAAACCCCAUGACCAUCACAUUCCCCUUGAACCAAACAACACUCUAGUUAAUGUCAAACCUUACCUCUAUCCCCACUCUCAAAAGGAAGCCAUGACUACAAUUAUCAAUGAUAUGUUGACAGAAGGUAUUAUUAAACCUAGCAAUAGCCCUUAUUCUUCACCAAUUUUGCUAGUGCAAAAAAAUAUGGUAAUUCGAGAUUUUGUGUUGACUACCUUGCCCUAA